CCCCGCCCCGAAACACCGCCGCCCCAAAUCCCGGCCCGCCUCGCCUCCGACCAAAAUCUCCGCUGCGCCGCCGCCGCACGGACCCGGAGCGCGCUUCCCUCGCGUCGCUCCCACCCUCCCCCCAAUCCCGUUUCGCCCCCGCCCCGAAACACCGCCGCCCCAAAUCCCGGCCGCGCCCUAGCGCCUCGCCUCCGACCAAAAUAUCCGCCGCGCCGCCACCGCAGGGACCCGGAGCGCCAAACCCGGCUCGCUUCCGCCCCCAAAUCCCCGCCGCCGUGCCGAAUCAAGGCCCGCGCCCUAGCGCCUCGCCUCCGACCAAAAUCUCCGCCGCGUCGACGCUCCCAGCCCCAAUCCACGUCGCCGCCGCCGCUGCGACGCUUCGCCGCACCUCCAGGCGCCCGCGAGGACUCCAGAUCCACGACUGCCGCCGCAGUGCCGCCGCCUCGCUCGCCGCACCUCCGGACGCCCGCGAGGACUCCGGGUGCCGUCGCGGCCGCCGUGGGUGCGUGCUGCAUCUCCGGACGCCCACGGCGCCGCCGCGCCGCCGGGACGGAGCCCUCCCCUCCUCUACAACGCGCGAUCCGCGCCCCCCUCCAACACUGCGCAAGCCACGGGCUCCUCCCCGAUGCACGAUCUGCCCAGCCUCUCCAACCGGCGCAGCGUCCUCUACCCCGGCCGUCGGAUCUGCUGUCAACACCGUACCAUCGUCCCACCGAGGAGGUUUCAAUAUCCUGAAUACACUCGGCUUCUCUUUCCACUGCAAUAUCAUGAAAUUGUGAACUGCGUGCUAGAGUAUGAGAUCAGUGUUUUAUGUUUUUCUCCUUUUUCAUGCCACUAUAUACUAUAUCAAUUAUACUGCAGUUUAAUUUAAGUGGAAGCUUGUGCCGCAUGGGGUAUGGUUCCUGCCUGAUUGCCUCGACCGUCGCCCGCCGUGCGCUGGGCAGUGCUUCCGAUUUUUUCCCCCAAUUCGCGGCCCUCUCCGCCCUGCCCUCCGCUCCAUCUCGGUGAGAAAAUCUGAUUUGCUGUAUCAUGCUCAGUUAUGUGUGGAUGAGGGUAGCACAUUCAGACUUCAUCAACAAGUUGGUUUGGUUCAGAGAUUUGGUUGGUCAAAUCGACAGAGUUUGUUUAGGAUUGUUAAAGGAGUCGAUCUGUUAGCUUGAAGAUUACUUGGCCUUUUUAGGAUCCAGGGCUAUAUAAUGCUCCCAUAUUUUCACGUCUAAUGAAGAAGUUAAACCAAAAACUUCUAUCCUGAGCCUUGCCCCUGGGCGCGAUGCACCACGGCGCCGCCCAACUUCAAGUGUUCAGUUCCUCUGAAAAUAUGAUGUGUUGUGCUUGAGAUGCAGCGGGUCGGACCGCGGAUUGACAUCUACUUGUGGCAUGGCUGCAGCUUCCCAAUAUUCAAGCAUGUUGAGAAAUGGAUCUUCUUUCAGUUACAAGUCACCAGGUUGAGCAGCCAGCCCAAUCAAAUAAACGCCCUUGCUUUUCCUGUGUAGAAAAUCAAAUCAGCAUAUACAUUGCCCUUGAGAGUGAGACUUAGGACGGCAGCAAAUCUGGGUCAUGUACAUGAGAGGUAAGUGUUCUUAAUUAGAUUUGUGCAUCGAUUUGUUGUUCUAGGGCAGAGGCCAAAGGGAAGAGUAGCAAGAGGAAGAGGAAGGUGGAGGCGCCCAAGGAGUCAGUCCGGGAGAAGAAACGGUCGGAAAAGGAGAGGAGGGCACAGCUUGAUUUGAUCCACACUGAGUCACAGAGGUUGCUGAGAGUGCAGAAACGAGGAGUGCUUCGUUUAGGCUGAUUGUGCAGCCUGUUUGCAAGCCCAUCUCAUCUGUCCUGGAGAAGAUCCGCCUUCGUAAGCUGGAGGUUCUAAAGAAUUCAAAUACUACUGCUAAAAAUGAUGAUGACAAUGCUGCUGCUUCCGAGCCAGUGAGUGAUUAUGUUGUGCAUGUGGAUGUGCCCUAGGUUAAAAAAGUGCCAACAGAUGGAUGAUGUUGACAAGGAUUUUGGAAAUCUCUAUCAUUGUAAUGUUGCAGAGGAUGAGAAUGAUUUGUAUUGCAAGGAGAAAGAUCAGCAUAAUCAUGAUACCAUAGCUCCAGAUGAGUGAACUGCUUGUUUUACUUUAGAUUGUUUCAUUCUACCUGGAGACUUCUGAUAGAUUGGAAGAAAAUCAUGAGAAUACCCAAUCAAGUGGUAACCAUAACAAUUCAGAAGAUCAAACUCAACUGCCCCCUUCUUCCAGCCCUGCUGAGAGUGCAGAUGAAUGUAGGUGCAAUACUGUUCCUGCAUAAUUUUGCCUUCCACCAUGCAUUCUCAAUGUUUCACGAGCAUUGAAUUAUUGCAUAUGUCUUAGCUGCAGCUGUCGAGAACCCAUUGUUUUUCUUUUGCGGCCUUGGAUUAAUUUUUUCAUGGCUGGCAGAGAUCUCACCUGAAUGAUUUUCAUUGAUAGGAAACAGGGUCAGCAGCACCCUGUUAGGGGCAUUGAAUUUGAGUGGUCAUGCAAAGGCUGAAGUUUGGCCAUCAGGAGCAGAAAGAAUCUGUGCAUGAAGAUGAAAUUACCCUGCAACACUCUGCGUAAAGAUUCAAUAGCAAUGGUGAACCCUUGUUAUAACUUAAUAGAUGACUCACCAUGAGUUUUUUUUCACCUACAAUAGGAGUGAUUUUUUUUGAAAAGAAAUAGGAGUGAAUUUGAGAUGCACAGUAUGCUUCAUUAAACAAAUUGGAUGUGCUGCAUGUAUAUAUGCCUUGGACUGUCA